rnacentral:rRNA from 1 species
CAGAGGGUGCGAGCGUUAAUCGGAAUUACUGGGCGUAAAGCGCACGUAGGCGGCUUAGCAAGUCGGGUGUGAAAUCCCCGGGCUCAACCUGGGAACUGCAUUCGAGACUGCUUUGCUUGAGUAUGGGAGAGGGAGGCGGAAUUUCCGGUGUAGCGGUGAAAUGCGUAGAUAUCGGAAGGAACAUCAGUGGCGAAAGCGGCCUCCUGGACCAAUACUGACGCUCAUGUGCGAAAGCGUGGGGAGCAAACAGGAUUAGAUGCCCUGGUAGUCCACGCCAUAAACGAUGAGAACUAGAUGUCGGGAGGGUUAGCCUCUCGGUGUCGCAGCUAACGCGUUAAGUUCUCCGCCUGGGGAGUACGGCCGCAAGGUUG